rnacentral:rRNA from 1 species
UGAGGAAUAUUGGUCAAUGGAGGAAACUCUGAAACAGCCAAGCCGCGUGAAGGAUGACGGUCCUAUGGAUUGUAAACUUCUUUAGUAGGCGAGUAAGGAUAGGUACGUGUACCUAUUAGAAAGUAGCCUAAGAAUAAGUAUCGGCUAACUCCGUGCCAGCAGCCGCGGUAAUACGGAGGAUACGAGCGUUAUCCGGAUUUAUGGGGUUUAAAGGGUGCGUAGGUGGCUGAUUAAGUCAGUUGUGAAAAGCUAUGGCUCAACCAUAGUCUUGCCGUUGAUACUGGUUAGCGUGAGUGUAGAUGAUGUAGGCGGAACGUGUAGUGUAGCGGUGAAAUGCAUAGAUAUUACGCAGAACUCCGAUUGCGAAGGCAGCUUACAAAACUACUACUGACACUGAGGCACGAAAGCGUGGGUAUCAAACAGG